rnacentral:lncRNA from 1 species
UGCUCAUUAGAAGUCCAAGUGAUUCCCACCACGCUUUGAGGGAGAGCUCGGAUUCCUUACCCAGAGGCUGAGCAGAGCUCAUCCCCUCCUGGAGAAACGGAGAUAGCUCACACCUUCUCCACACUCAAAAGAGCUGAGUGAAGUUUCAUGACAUUUCCUAGGAAGCCAAACUUAGUGGAACUUUAGAUGUGCCUGGGAACAGUGUCUUCAUGCAAGAUCUUCCCUGCUGAGGACUCUUGACGCUGCUGCAGAAGCAGGUAGACGCAGCUGUGCUUAGAAGGCAAUAAGAUCUCCAGACAACAGACCCAGUGACAUCUCCAGGUGAUCUGAUCUCCUAUAGUGGGUCCCCAGUGGUGGCAUCUUAAAUGGCAUCAGGGAUGUAUCAAAACCUUCAAAAAACAAAGCCAAGGCAGAAAGUUUCCGGAGAUGUGAGGAAGCACCCUUCCAAUGGUGAUGAAAGGGAGUGGAAAGGGUGAGAAGAAGAUGAUGUCAGAAGCAAGCAGCCUGGAGUACCGUCACUUUUCUGUGGCCAGUCUAUUCUCUUCAAACCUAUCUUAUACAUUGGCUUUGGUUACUGGAGGGCAAAAAAAGGAUCAACCAUUCUAUUUGUUGGGGGGUUAUUUUUCUCUUCACAAUCAUUAGCAUAGCUGAACA